CUUUGGUGGGUUCUUUCCAACACAUUCUUUCAAUAUGGAUUUUGUCCUUUAUGUAUUACAGAUGUGUUGGGAAUUAGUAAAUCAAAUUAUUUCUGGAGCUUUAAUGAUCAAACCUCCAUUCCUACUUUUUAGUCCUUUAAAUCAACUAGACUUGCUCAGGUAUUGAUGAUUUUAAAUGAAACCUGGUUUUGCCUUGUAUUCUGUUUAUUUAACUGAGCUACAUUAUCCAUCUUCAACCCUAGAGCUAAGUCAUUUUCUCUAACAGAGCAUCCCAGUUACCUCUGGCCAGCUUCACAUAGUGUCGUCUUACAAGAUCUCAGGGCCAGGCCUCCUUAGAGUAUGCAAAAGAACAUAUUAUUUGCCAUAGGUCCUAAAAUACAUGGAGUCUAGAUGAUAUUAAAGUUAAGUUAGAUUUCUUAAGAUGAAAAAUUACACAAUAUUAUUGCUCUGGAUCUUAAGAAUUAGGUUGUCACUAUGGUAAUUAACCAAUAGACUAUGACACUCGGUGUGGUAAUAACUCCAUUAGAAAGCUGAAAAAUACACCAAGCAUUGACAGAAUCAAGACAAGCCAAAAUUGUUAAAAUACCUGUAUAUUCUAAUAACAAUCUCUGUGUAUGACUGUUGUAGUUCUUAAUUAGCAUGAAUUGUAUAGACUGUUACUUUAAAAAUGUUAAGUAUUUUAAAGUAUAUAUUAAAAUUUAAAAGCAGCCUAUUUUUCUUAGGAUUCUUCAGAUAUUACUGACCAUCUCAGUCCAUUACAGCUCCCUCUAUGAAAAGAUUUUCUGACUCCCAAUAUGCAAGAUUCAGGGUGACUUUGUAAGUGUGCUGAGGAAAUAUUUUGGUCCUAUUUCUUUCCAUGUUGGCACAGACCAAUUAGAAAUCAAUUAGUAAUUGUAAGUUUAUUAUUCACCUGGGCAGCUCAUAAAUACCAUGAUAAAUUCUUUAACGAUUUGUAAAUUUAUAUGGAGGUUACUAAACCUAAGAGUGAUUCGAUAUGUAUAGAGCAGCUGUGAAGUCUCUAAAGACCAUAAUGAAAGCAAACCAUUCUGUCAACAUCGCUGAACAAAUUGUGCCAUUAAAGCUGGUGACAGUGAUUUAGAAGAUUUGACAGUUUCAUUCAUUUAACAAUUAUUUCCUGAAGUCUGCUGUAUGCCAAGAAUUGUGCUAGGUGCCAAGAAUUUAAGGUUGAAUAAGAAAUAGGCACUGUUUUAAAGGAUCAUUAUUUAAUGGGAAAGACAAAUGUAAACAAAUAAUUACAGAACAGGGAGAUAAGUGCUAAAAUGAAAGAUCGUAUAAGGUGCUGUGGAAAUACAGAGGAGGGACACCCACAGUGUGCCUGCCUUUUGAAGGGAAGAAAAUAAUAAAUUUAAC
rnacentral:lncRNA from 1 species